GACGAGGGGUCCAAGCGUUGUUCGGAAUCAUUGGGCGUAAAGCGGGUGUAGGUGGCUCUAUAAGUCAGAAGUGAAAGCCCCGGGCUUAACCCGGGAAGUGCUUUUGAUACUGCAGAGCUUGAAUGUGGGAGAGGGUAGUGGAAUUCCAGGUGUAGUGGUGAAAUACGUAGAUAUCUGGAGGAACACCGGUGGCGAAGGCGGGUCUCUGGGCCGAUAU
rnacentral:rRNA from 1 species